UACAGAGGGUGCGAGCGUUGUUCGGAAUUACUGGGCGUAAAGCGCGCGCAGGCGCCUUUUAAGUCUCACCGUUCAAGCCCGGAGCUCAACUCCGGUCCGCGGGGGAUACUGGGAGGCUUAGGGACAUGUAGGGGCGAGCGGAAUUCCGGGUGGUAGCGGUGGAAUGCGUAGAGAUCCGGAAGAACACCGGGGGCGAAGGCGGCUCGCUGGGCAUGGUCCGACGCUGAGGCGCGAAAGCGUGGGGAGCGAACAGG
rnacentral:rRNA from 1 species